AACAACAAUAAAAAAAAAUCUGAUAUCUCUCGAUUAAUAAAAUUUCCCUUCGGCAUUGUUACUAUAUAAUUCAGUAUAUUCGCAAAUAAAAUAUAAGCAUCAAUCAAUAUAUAUACAAAAAAAAUGGCCAAAUUUAUUGUUUAUAAAAUGUUCAUAUUUUUCUUGAUAUUAUGCUGUUUAUCUCAAGCGGUACCUGUUGAUCAAAUUGGUACCAAAAUUUUGACCAAUCUGAAGGGCGUAUCCCAACAAGCACUAAUGAUAAACCAAGUGAAUAGCAUCAUAGAUGUUACUUGUAAGGAUGGAUAUAUAUUAAUUAAUGGAAUAUGUGUGAAAAUUGCCAAAUGACUGUAUUAAUACUGUGCAUGAAAUUAUUUAUUUGUUAUUGUAAUAUGUAUGAAUAAAAUGUUAGUGUAA